UUGUAUAUAGAUACUAAUUUAAUAAUAUUUUACAUUUAUAUUAAUAAAUUGAGUGCUAUUGCUUGCGUUCAAAAUUUAUAAAUUAUAAAUCACAAUAUUGAAAAUGAUAAAUUGCAAGUUCAGCCUAAUAAUGCCUCCAUAAUCAAAUCAGGAGCAAGAUGAACAACUUCGGCGCCUGAAUGUUGUUUUUAGAGAUCUGUUAAUUACACGACUCUACAAAAAAAAAAUUUCUUAGUCCUAAAGUUUAUUUUAUGAUUUUCUGAUUAAUUCUGAACAAAAACGACAAGAAAGUGCCAUCUUUUCGUAUAAAGUUUGCUUUUGUAAAAAUUAUAGUAAUAAUACUAUAUUUGGAGUUAAAUAAGAGAUAGUACCUAUGAACAUAAAAGAAAAAGUAAAAGUGUGCACUUUUAAAUUAUUUUUUACUUUUUUGUAAGUUAUUUUGAUAGUAAAACUUAAUUAAAAUGUUUCUUUAAGUGAUUUCAUUUUCAAUUAAAAAUUAAAACCACAUUUUUUUUUAAAUAUUAUUAAAACGGUGUUUUAACGAUAUAUUGUUAUGGACCUUAGUAUUUAAUGCAUGCAAUGUAAAGGAUUGUUUGCCCUGAGACCGCAAAUGAUCCUAAACGAAUCAUAGCUAAAAGCAAUUUUGUUUGCCCUUGAGAUCGCAAGUGAUCCUAAACUAACAAUAGACAAGAAAUCCUGACCUUGAAUCUUCUUCUACUCCAGUUUCACACGAUUUGACACGACAUAUACCUGAGCCAUCGAUAAAAUUAUCGCAAAAUAGUAGCUUAUCUCUUAGUUCUCAUAAAAGUAAUUCCGAUAAGGAGUUUUUACCGACACCAGAACAACCAAAACCUCAUUUCGUCACCACAGAAGAUUUUAAUGAUUUGAUUAGAGAUUUUAAUUUGCCAAAAAGUAAAGCAGAGCUUUUAGACUCUCGCUUAAAACAGUAAUAUUACGGAUCAGAGGACUAGGCAUGAAACAUUCUCAACAUUUUUCACAAAAGAAGAUGGACUUUGUUUUAGCAACGACAUAAAAGGUGCAUGAUUUUUGUUACUUCCUGACACAAAGGACUACGAGUGCGUCUUCCAUCAUACGUCGAAUUUGUAAUGUACGAUUGAUGAACGAUUGCCGUUGUAAGCCUUGAAGAACUGCUGGUAGUUUUCCCUGCACCCAUACCAAGUAUAGCUACCUUCCUAUAUGGGAGUAUAUGGGUGGUAUCCAGCUUAAGCUUUCUCCGAAGUUUGCAAAUAUCUGAAAAGGAUAAUAAAAAGAUAAAAGUAUAUUCCAACAAAAGAUUUCAUGUUUAGUAUAUAUGUACAUAUAUAAGGUGUGAUAUUAUCAGGGUGAGUUGAUGCCACUCUACUACCGAGAUUGCCAUUUCACUACAAAAAGUUACUAUAGCGUAUGUGUUGGUAAAAGCUGAAAAACUUUGUAUUUUUAGUGGUGUAUGAGUUAGCUCCGUCUUGUAGGGUACUUUUCGUUUAAUUGACCCUAUGGUUAAUUGGUUUCCCCGUUUAAUAGAACGGUGUUAUCGGGCAAAAAAUAUAGCAUAUGAAAGCCCAUGUAAAUUUUCUCGGAUAAUUGGACUCGGUCAAUUGAUUUUCCCGCUUAGUGGGUUCAUAAUAUAUGUCAUCAAAAAUCAUUUUCCUUUUAAAUUUCCCCGGUUAAUUUCUCCAAAUAAUAUUGUUGAAAAAAUUAAUCUUCUAAUCAACACUGUACAAUUUUUUAAUAAUAAAUUUGAAUAACAAAUAUAUAUAUCUUAAUAUAUAAAAAUCA